rnacentral:rRNA from 1 species
GUCCUAGCCGUAACGAUGAACACUAGGCGUAGUCGGUAUCGACCCCGGCUGUGCCGUAGCCAACGCAUUAAGUGUUCCGCCUGGGGAGUACGGCCGCAAGGCUAAACUCAAAGGAAUUGACGGGGCCCGCACAAGCAGCGGAGCGUGUGGUUUAAUUCGUCGCAACGCGAAGAACCUUACCAGGGCUUGACAUGCACCGGAAAACGGCGGAAACGUCGUCCUCCCGCAAGGGAUCGGUGUGCAGGUGUUGCAUGGCUGUCGU